rnacentral:rRNA from 1 species
GACGGAGGGUGCAAGCGUUGUUCGGAAUCAUUGGGCGUAAAGCGCACGUAGGCGGGUUUGUAAGUUGAUUGUGAAAUCCCAGGGCUCAACCUUGGAAUUGCAGUCAAAACUGCAGAUCUUGAAUACUUGAGAGGGUGGGAGAAUUCCUGGUGGAGAAGUGAAAUUCGUAGAGAUCAGGAGGAAUACCGGAGGCGAAGGCGCCUGCCUGGCAAGAUAUUGACGCUGAGGUGCGAAAGCGUGGGUAGCAAACAGG